CCUUCUAGUCUCCAGAUAUCUUAUCAUUUCCUACACCCAUUGAGCUAUAUAGAUGCUUUCUAUAAUUUCCAAUUUUCAUAUCUGUAGAUGCCGUAGUUUCAGAAGUAGACAGAGGAAAGUAGUCAAUGGAUUUCUUUCCUCACUGAUUUUUUUCUGAGGCAGGAAACAUUUAUCUGUUUUUUUGCAGGAAGUUCAUAUCAAACGUGUGCUCCAAAGUUAACUCCUCCUAAUACAUUUCACAAAUACUUUAAACCCUCAGAAAUAUGUAAAGAUAUAGCAAACUGAAAGAAAGUUCUGGCCAAUUACUUGUUACUUCAAGUCUAGUGAUUCUUUUUUCUUUGAAACUAAAAAGGCAAGAUUGAAAUCUGGAUGAACAGGUACAGAAGUGGUAAAUGGCUUGAAUGAGAAAAGAUCAAGGUCUAUUAUAAUUAGAAACUGGAGUUUACUGAGGAUCCAUUCUAAGGUUUCUGAGAAAAUCGAAAUAUGUUUUAGGAGCUAACAGUCUAGCAGGAAUUCAUGGUAAGCAUACAUUUAACCCAACUUUAGCUGUGAUGAGUACACAGAAGGAACCUUAUGGAGGAAGUAAGACUUGAAUUGUAUCUCAAGACCCUCGCAGGAUUUCAGUAGGUGUGAAAAGAACCAUAGGUGUUUCUCGCAAAGGAGCAGUAGUCCUAAUGGUACUGAUAUGCAAACGUGCACGUUGGACUCAAGGGCUGAUGAAUGGUCCCGUGGAUUGGAUUGUAGCAGGGUGUGAGGGCCAGGAUAUGAGGCUGGAAACAUCAUCUGGGAUUGCAAAGCUGUCAGACGCUGUGCUAACAUACUUUGAUUGUAAUUCAUAAAGGGGGGGAGUUUUUGGAACAGAGGAGAGGCCUGAUUUGACUUGUAUUUUACAGGAAUAGAGCUGAAAGCAUCGGGAAAGGUAGACCAGAAGGACAAGAGAUUGGAGAUCAUCCCACCCAAGAUAGACGAUGAGGGCUGGCAUUUGGGUUGGAUUGGAGACAGAGUCCAUGAUUUCUUUUCCAGAGGUAGACCCACCAGAGUUUGGUUGCUAGGUAGAUACAGAGGUGUGAGUGAAAGAGAGGCCUCAAAGCCUGAGACCCCACUGGCCAGUGACCCCACUGCAAUGGGGCUACGGUGAGUGAGCACGUAAUGCAGCUUUGGUGGGGGGCGAUAAUCAAUUCAUUGUCUAUCUCAAAAUGUAUGAGAAAUUUAUGAAACUAUGUCACAACUGUGGUAGCAACUAUGCAAACACAAAUCAAUUUUUAUAAUUCAUUCUUAAAUGUGUGAGGUCGCCUGGUGAGGAUGGUAAGCCACACCACGCACCCCCAGGGAAAAAUCAGAACAGGAACCAUGAGAGCCCGCCCUUCAGGCCCCCAAGAAGUCUGUGCAGGUUCAGCACUGAGGCCACCUAGCUCUCCGCCCUGUGCCCACAGCUCCAGGCCAGGUAUUACAUACAUCUCUCCUUCUCUUCUUUAAAGGCGCCCAUUCACUGAUGUUUCCCAGCCUCUGGAUGUAAAAGACGGAGCUUCGGGAAAAGCAGAAUACAAUGAAUGAGACGGGAACAAGCAUGGCGUGUCCGGGAGACCCAUAGAGCCUCUGCGCCUUCCACAAAGUACCAGGUGAUACGGGAGUUAGAUUGGAGCCUUGAUAGAUAAGAGCCUCUCUGUCUUGGAAAUGCAAUAUGAAACGAACCCAUGUGGCAGUCCUGGACACCGUUUGUCCGCCUACAGGUCUAUGAAGAUGUACACAUUUGUCUGCGGAGCAGCAACUCCUACUUUGGAAGCCGACUCAUUUCAAAUGGACGGCCCAGGAAGUACGCCUCUGAAGAGCUCAAUCUGGACACACAGUGGCUUAGAAGAACCCACAAAAUGCCAGACCCGCAAACUGUAAUCCUUAAAUGAAACUCAUCGUUCAGCAGAAAAACAAGUUAAGGGCGGUAAUAAAAUGAUAGACGAAACAGGC